rnacentral:rRNA from 1 species
AUGGUACUAGACACCAUUGCAAUGACAACUUCCGUGAUUGCAACGAUACUACUGAUCUAUGAAAGAGCUUCGCGGUCUCAUCGCUCAUGGCUAGGCUUUAUGGUUGCAAUGCACUUCCUUUGGUUGUCACUUAAUAGCAUGAUGUUAGCCUUCUUCGCGGCCAUGGUCGGGGUGAUGAGAGAAAAAAACUUAAUGAAGGUAGUAUUAACUCAGGUAAUCUACAAUGGGUUGUGCAUCUUGAUGACACUGCUUGCAAACCUUGCAACACCUAGAUCGUUUCUAGGUGUCAUGCGGCUUCUGGUUGACAGUUGCUUUGAAAGGCGGCAGCGUGCCAAGAGACGCAUAAGUCGGCAGUUUCCCUUCAUUAUCUUUUAUGCACUAAAUGUGGUUGUGUUCAUAGUCAUAAAUACUUUGGCACUUUCUGCAAUUCAAGUCACGGGUGGUAUGUAG